CCCGGCACAAGCGGUGGAGGUAUGUGGUUUAAUUCGAUGCAACGCGAAGAACCUUACCUGGUCUUGACAUCCCGGAGACCCUUAGGAAACUAGGGGGUGCUUCCAUCUGGAAGAAUCUGGAGACAGGUGCUGCAUGGCUGUCGUCAGCUCGUGUCGUGAGAUGUUGGGUUAAGUCCCGCAACGAGCGCAACCCUUGCCUUUAGUUGCCAGCAGUUCGGCUGGGCACUCUAAAGGGACUGCCGGUGUUAAACCGGAGGAAGGUGGGGAUGACGUCAAGUCCUCAUGGCCUUUAUGACCAGGGCUACACACGUACUACAAUGGCCGAUACAAAGGGCAGCGACACUGCGAGGUGAAGCCAAUCCCGUAAAAUCGGUCUCAGUCCGGAUUGGAGUCUGCAACUCGACUCCAUGAAGUUGGAAUCGCUAGUAAUCGUGGAUCAGCAUGCCACGGUGAAUACGUUCCCGGGCCUU
rnacentral:rRNA from 1 species